CCCUUAGAUGUUCUGGGCCGCACGCGUGCUACACUGAGUGGAUCAGCGGGUCAGGUUGCGCGAAAGCGUUUCCUAAUCUUUAAAUCCGCUCGUGAUGGGGAUUGACGGUUGCAAUUUUCUGUUAUGAACGAGGAAUACCUUGUAAGCGCGGGUCAUCAUCCCGCGCUGAAUACGUCCCUGCCCUUUGUACACACCGCCCGUCGCUCCUACCGAUUGAGUGGUCCGGUGAGGCUUUGGGAUCUGAGCGGAAAGAGCGUUUCGCUGUUUCUGCUCGGAAAACUCAGUCGAACCUUAUCAUUUAGAGGAAGGAGAAGUCGUAACA
rnacentral:rRNA from 1 species